rnacentral:rRNA from 1 species
ACAUGCAAGUCGAACGAACUCUUCGGAGUUAGUGGCGGACGGGUGAGUAACACGUGGGAACGUGCCUUUAGGUUCGGAAUAACUCAGGGAAACUUGUGCUAAUACCGAAUGUGCCCUUCGGGGGAAAGAUUUAUCGCCUUUAGAGCGGCCCGCGUCUGAUUAGCUAGUUGGUGAGGUAAAGGCUCACCAAGGCGACGAUCAGUAGCUGGUCUGAGAGGAUGAUCAGCCACAUUGGGACUGAGACACGGCCCAAAUCCUACGGGAGGCAGCAGUGGGGAAUCUUGCGCAAUGGGCGAAAGCCUGACGCAGCCAUGCCGCGUGAAUGAUGAAGGUCUUAGGAUUGUAAAAUUCUUUCACCGGGGACGAUAAUGACGGUACCCGGAGAAGAAGCCCCGGCUAACUUCGUGCCAGCAGCCGCGGUAAUACGAAGGGGGCUAGCGUUGCUCGGAAUUACUGGGCGUAAAGGGAGCGUAGGCGGACAUUUAAGUCAGGGGUGAAAUCCCGGGGCUAACCUCGGAAUUGCCUUUGAUACUGGGUGUCUUGAGUAUGAGAGANGUGUGUGGAACUCCGAGUGUAGAGGUGAAAUUCGUAGAUAUUCGGAAGAACACCAGUGGCGAAGGCGACACACUGGCUCAUUACUGACGCUGAGGCUCGAAAG